AUUGCACGCUGGCGGCAUGCCUUACACAUGCAAGUCGAACGGCAGCACGGGAGCAAUCCUGGUGGCGAGUGGCGAACGGGUGAGUAAUACAUCGGAACGUGCCCAAUCGUGGGGGAUAACGCAGCGAAAGCUGUGCUAAUACCGCAUACGAUCUACGGAUGAAAGCAGGGGAUCGCAAGACCUUGCGCGAAUGGAGCGGCCGAUGGCAGAUUAGGUAGUUGGUGAGGUAAAGGCUCACCAAGCCGUCGAUCUGUAGCUGGUCUGAGAGGACGACCAGCCACACUGGGACUGAGACACGGCCCAGACUCCUACGGGAGGCAGCAGUGGGGAAUUUUGGACAAUGGGCGAAAGCCUGAUCCAGCCAUGCCGCGUGCAGGAUGAAGGCCUUCGGGUUGUAAACUGCUUUUGUACGGAACGAAACGGCCUUUUCUAAUAAAGAGGGCUAAUGACGGUACCGUAAGAAUAAGCACCGGCUAACUACGUGCCAGCAGCCGCGGUAAUACGUAGGGUGCAAGCGUUAAUCGGAAUUACUGGGCGUAAAGCGUGCGCAGGCGGUUAUGUAAGACAGUUGUGAAAUCCCCGGGCUCAACCUGGGAACUGCAUCUGUGACUGCAUAGCUAGAGUACGGUAGAGGGGGAUGGAAUUCCGCGUGUAGCAGUGAAAUGCGUAGAUAUGCGGAGGAACACCGAUGGCGAAGGCAAUCCCCUGGACCUGUACUGACGCUCAUGCACGAAAGCGUGGGGAGCAAACAGG
rnacentral:rRNA from 1 species